rnacentral:rRNA from 1 species
UAAAGAAUUUCGGUAUGGGAUGGGGAUGCGUUCCAUUAGUUAGUUGGCGGGGUAACGGCCCACCAAGACGACGAUGGAUAGGGGUUCUGAGAGGAAGGUCCCCCACAUUGGAACUGAGACACGGUCCAAACUCCUACGGGAGGCAGCAGUGAGGAAUAUUGGUCAAUGGACGAGAGUCUGAACCAGCCAAGUAGCGUGAAGGAUGACUGCCCUAUGGGUUGUAAACUUCUUUUAUAUGGGAAUAAAAUGUUCCACGUGUGGGAUUUUGUAUGUACCAUAUGAAUAAGGAUCGGCUAACUCCGUGCCAGCAGCCGCGGUAAUACGGAGGAUCCGAGCGUUAUCCGGAUUUAUUGGGUUUAAAGGGAGCGUAGGUGGAUUGUUAAGUCAGUUGUGAAAGUUUGCGGCUCAACCGUAAAAUUGCAGUUGAAACUGGCAGUCUUGAGUACAGUAGAGGUGGGCGGAAUUCGUGGUGUAGCGGUGAAAUGCUUAGAUAUCACGAAGAACUCCGAUUGCGAAGGCAGCUCACUGGACUGCAACUGACACUGAGGCUCGAAAGUGUGGGUAUCAAACAGGAUUAGAUACCCUGGUAGUCCACACAGUAAACGAUGAAUACUCGCUGUUUGCGAUAUACAGCAA